rnacentral:rRNA from 1 species
GACGAACGCUGGCGGCGUGCUUAACACAUGCAAGUCGAACGGAAAGGCCCUGCUUUUGUGGGGUGCUCGAAUGGCGAACGGGUGAGUAACACGUGAGUAACCUGCCCUUGACUUUGGGAUAACUUCAGGAAACUGGGGCUAAUACCGGAUAGGAGCUCCUGCUGCAUGGUGGGGGUUGGAAAGUUUCGGCGGUUGGGGAUGGACUCGCGGCUUAUCAGCUUGUUGGUGGGGUAGUGGCUUACCAAGGCUUUGACGGGUAGCCGGCCUGAGAGGGUGACCGGCCACAUUGGGACUGAGAUACGGCCCAGACUCCUACGGGAGGCAGCAGUGGGGAAUAUUGCACAAUGGGCGGAAGCCUGAUGCAGCAACGCCGCGUGCGGGAUGACGGCCUUCGGGUUGUAAACCGCUUUCGCCUGUGACGAAGCGUGAGUGACGGUAAUGGGUAAAGAAGCACCGGCUAACUACGUGCCAGCAGCCGCGGUGAUACGUAGGGUGCGAGCGUUGUCCGGAUUUAUUGGGCGUAAAGGGCUCGUAGGUGGUUGAUCGCGUCGGAAGUGUAAUCUUGGGGCUUAACCCUGAGCGUGCUUUCGAUACGGGUUGACUUGAGGAAGGUAGGGGAGAAUGGAAUUCCUGGUGGAGCGGUGGAAUGCGCAGAUAUCAGGAGGAACACCAGUGGCGAAGGCGGUUCUCUGGGCCUUUCCUGACGCUGAGGAGCGAAAGCGUGGGGAGCGAACAGGCUUAGAUACCCUGGUAGUCCACGCUGUAAACGGUGGGUACUAGGUGUGGGGUCCAUUCCACGGGUUCCGUGCCGUAGCUAACGCUUUAAGUACCCCGCCUGGGGAGUACGGCCGCAAGGCUAAAACUCAAAGGAAUUGACGGGGCCCCGCACAAGCGGCGGAGCAUGCGGAUUAAUUCGAUGCAACGCGUAGAACCUUACCUGGGUUUGACAUGGAUCGGGAGUGCUCAGAGAUGGGUGUGCCUCUUUUGGGGUCGGUUCACAGGUGGUGCAUGCCUGUCGUCAGCUCGUGUCGUGAGAUGUUGGGUUAAGUCCCGCAACGAGCGCAACCCUUGUUCACUGUUGCCAGCACGUUAUGGUGGGGACUCAGUGGAGACCGCCGGGGUCAACUCGGAGGAAGGUGGGGAUGACGUCGAGUCCUCAUGCCCCUUAUGUCCAGGGCUUCACGCAUGCUACAAUGGCUGGUACAGAGAGUGGCGAGCCUGUGAGGGUGAGCGAAUCUCGGAAAGCCGGUCUCAGUUCGGAUUGGGGUCUGCAACUCGACCUCAUGAAGUCGGAGUCGCUAGUAAUCGCAGAUCAGCAACGCUGCGGUGAAUACGUUCCCGGGGCU